rnacentral:rRNA from 1 species
GACGAACGCUGGCGGCGUGCCUAAUACAUGCAAGUUGAGCGCUGAAGGUUGGUACUUGUACCAACUGGAUGAGCAGCGAACGGGUGAGUAACGCGUGGGGAAUCUGCCUUUGAGCGGGGGACAACAUUUGGAAACGAAUGCUAAUACCGCAUAAAAACUUUAAACACAAGUUUUAAGUUUGAAAGAUGCAAUUGCAUCACUCAAAGAUGAUCCCGCGUUGUAUUAGCUAGUUGGUGAGGUAAAGGCUCACCAAGGCGAUGAUACAUAGCCGACCUGGGAGGGUGAUCGGCCACAUUGGGACUGAGACACGGCCCAAACUCCUACGGGAGGCAGCAGUAGGGAAUCUUCGGCAAUGGACGAAAGUCUGACCGAGCAACGCCGCGUGAGUGAAGAAGGGUGUCGGAUCGUAAAACUCUGUUGGUAGAGAAGAACGUUGGUGAGAGUGGAAAGCUCAUCAAGUGACGGUAACUACCCAGAAAGGGACGGCUAACUACGUG